GAACUAUGGACCCGAUCCAAAGCCCACUGAAGUCAAUAAGAGUCCUUCCAUUGAUUUCAAUGAGCUUUGGAUCAAUUUCCUGGAUC
rnacentral:pre_miRNA from 1 species